rnacentral:rRNA from 1 species
AUUCCAGCUCCAAUAGCGUAUAUUAAAGUUGUUGCAGUUAAAAAGCUCGUAGUUGGAUUUCUGGCAGGAGUGACCGGUCACACACUCUGUGUGUGAACUCGCGUUGUCUCUGGCCAUCCUUGGGGAGAUCCUGUUUGGCAUUAAGUUGUCGGGCAGGGGAUACCCAUCGUUUACUGUGAAAAAAUUAGAGUGUUUAAAGCAGGCUUAUGCCGUUGAAUAUAUUAGCAUGGAAUAAUAAGAUAGGACUUCGGAACUAUUUUGUUGGUUUGCGUUACGAAGUAAUGAUUAAUAGGGACAGUUGGGGGUAUUCGUAUUUCGUUGUCAGAGGUGAAAUUCUUGGAUUUCCGAAAGACGAACUACUGCGAAAGCAUUUACCAAGGAUGUUUUCAUCA